AUGGCCAUAUCAUGUUGAAACACCAGUUCCUAUACAAUCACUGAAGUUAAGCAAUAUCGAACUUGGUCAGUAACUAGAAGGGUGACCUUUUGGGAAUACCAAGGUGCUGUAAG